AAAUAAAAAAAUUAAUGUUGAGAGAGUUUUUUUUUUCUCAUUUAAGGGUUUAACUCGAUUCAAUUCAAAAUUUAAUUAAGAAUCAAUAUGAUUACCGAAUAUUAAAGAAUCUCUUAUUGAACCUAAAUUUAGAAAUAAAAAUUUAACCCAAAUUUGUUAAGCUAAUACUCCCAACAAAUAGUGAUAUGGUUGAAUUUGCAUCUCGUGCUUAACUACCAUAGGCAAAGCCAAGUGAGAGAUGAGCUAAAGAUAGGAAAUUUGUUGGCAACCUAAUCUUCAUAUCCAAGUCUAAUGAAAAACUAUUGAAGCUGCUUUAGGGGUUUUGGUUUGUUUUUUCAUCCCACUUUGGACUUUGACACUUCAACAUCCAUUUUAGCUUAUGAUUUGCUGAAUAAGCCCACUUUUUUUAAGCUACAUUACUUACUUGCAAAACCAUUGUUGUAUUACUGCUCUUUUAUAUAUUAAUAUAUGUAAUUUGGUUCACACUUUACAUCCACAUCAUCAAACUAUAUUCCAUUCCCCACUCACCAUCAUCAAUCCAUUUAAAUGAAUGGAUGGUAAUAGAAGUGAGAGACGAAGAUGAUCAGUUCAUUCUAUUUAAAAUGGGACAAAGGGCAGAUGAAUAAAAAUGUUGGAGUUGUGAAAGGAAGAAUGAGAAGGAAGUCGAGAUCGAAGGAUUGAGAUAAUUGGUCAUCCUCUAUCCUAAAGAAUCAUGUGGUGAGUCAGUAUUAGUGGUCUGGCACUAUAAGCCUAGAUAAGGUGAUACUAUGAUGUAACUCGAGUCAUCUUAAAUGAGACAUAAUGGUUAGGACCUGAUAUGGUAGUUAAUAAACGAACCUACUUGUCAAGCAAGUUGCUAAUUAAUAA